UGUGGAUCCAAAAAGGUAGCUUGCCAGCAAGUCAGAUAGGAGAGCUCAUCUGUCAAAAACACUUGCUGAAGUAGGCCCAGAGAGCAGCACAUGGCUUGAAGCACUGUGACAUUCCUUUGGGCGUGAGACCUGGAGUUGCCCUUGAGGAGCCAGUUGUCGAGGUACAGGUCGAUUUGGAUACCCCGGCGUCUGAGGGCCCUGCCAUCGAAGGGCAGGUCCUGCAAUGACUGCUGGGUGAACAACCCAGAGAGGAGCAGCCAAGAGACUCAACGCAUGGAGAUAGCAGAAGCCAUGGUGCGGACAGCAGCAUCAGCAGCACUGGACGCUGCCUGGAGGGCUGAAGCCUCGUGCACCGGAGGGGAAUGGGAUACCGAGGCCGCUGGCCUCUCUAAGGCUCCCAACACCGAUCAGGCAGCCUGGGAGAACCCCCAGGAUUCCACGGAUACCAUGUAGAUAAAUCUCUGAUAAUUUUCAUAUGACUUUACAUUGUGCCUCUUCAUUUAACCUUGUAGUCGGUCUACCCUCGUGUGACCUCUGUUUUCAUGAAACUUUGUAUCAAAGCCUAAUAUAGAAAUCUUGUACUGAGGAGCCUUGGUAUAUGGAAACUUUAUAUCAAAGCCUCAUGUAGAAACUUUGUGGUAAGCCUUGGUAUAAUGUUAUAGCCCCUAAGGAUAGUUAAAGUAGAAGAAAAAUGUCUUUUUGCUAGCAGUAGAACAAGAUCUUCCCCCCCACUCUUAAUCAAUUGCCCUGUUGAAUGAACGAGGUGUGAAUGAGUAAAGGCUUGGAAGGCAGCACCUCCAGACAGCUGCAACCCUUGGAGAGGGGAUGGAAGCCAGAUCCAAGGAUAAUAAAACUUGUCAAGUGGGCUCAUUAAAGAAAAGCAGACAUACUGACGGCCUUGGGGGUUAGAAGCAAGCACCUUCUUUUGGAAAUACCCUCUUUGCAGCAUUGGGACAACACCCAGAAGGAAGCAGCACAAAGGACCAAUGGACACAGACACAGAUUUUGAAUCUGGUACAGAUUUGCAUGAGAGGGAAGCUGCUAUAAAAGUGAGAUGUCUUGCAGAGGACCCCGGGUCUCGUCUUGUCAACAUGGGAGCAACGAUCCAGAUCAGCAGAAGCCCGGCUCCCCCCUGCUUCCCCAUCUAACUCACCUGGCCAGUGAAGUUAAGGGGAGCAACUAAUUGGUAACAACAAGACAGAGUAUGCGUGCGUGUGUGUAAGUGCAUGAGUGUAACAUAUAUCAUAUGCAUAUGAUACAGUGUUAAUUAAUACAUGUAUUACUAAUAAAUGUGGCGUUUUG